ensembl:lncRNA
AUUUGCUUUCCAUUUUUCAGAGGCUGCUUUAAAGACAGGCUAAAUUAUUAACCAGAGGCACUAACAUUUGGAAAACAAAAAGCUCAAGGACGUACAUACAGUAGCUCUAAACCUGCAGUGGUGUGGGGGAUGUUUCUUGACUGAUAUUGGAAGUGUAGAAUUAGCAUAAUCAGCAGUCAUUACUCCAGAGUCUCUGGACUCUUUGAUACUCUUGCUGUGAGCAGAAUGUGCUUCAACAUGCUGUGUUCCACUCAUUGAGAAAAUGAAAGAUUUGAAGAGACUGUGGAUUAAUGAUCUCCAGUUGGCCAGUUUCACUUGUGUAGGUAACAGCAGAUGGCAGAAGAGGGGCAGUCUGACAAAAUGGUGUCUGACAUGGAAGUGUGGAUGAAGCAAAGGUGUGUCACUGACUUCCUUCAUGUGGAAAAAAUGCCACCCACUGACAUUCAUCAGUGCUUGCUGAAUGCUUAUGGAGACCAAAAAGUGGAGAGCAUGUUCCCUAGCCUCACAGACCUCAGAUCUGUAGUUGAAGCACUGGAGCUGAAACCGUAUCAUUGGCACUGGGACAACUAGGCUGGACUUGGAUAAUUCCGGAAUCCUCACUGCAAGACCUGAUACAUCUUCUCAGAUGGGACAGUUAAGCAGUUUCACUGUUACUUGCUCUCCUUCUUCCCUAUUCCCCUGUGGUUGAUUCACACAAAAAUAAAUUAUCUUCAUCAGCUAUACUUUUCAUGCACAGCUCUUGGUCUAGGCUGCUGGUUUAAAAGAUCUGAAUUAAAAUCUAUUUACUUCCAGUGUCACGCUGAAAUACUGGUUUAUUUGCAGGAAAUGUUUCAUUUUGUUUUUCUUUUAGGAUUCUUUUUUCUUUCACUUCCUUUAUUUUAAGAUAUAUUUUACCACUUCCUAUUUCAGCCUUUGUAUAAGUACUUGUUGAUAAUCUAUUAUUUUUUCUAAUUAUAUUUUUAUAUCUCCUUUAUUCAGUGUACUACUGAAGGAAAAGCAGAACAAUAAUAAAAGUAAAUGAGCUAUAUGGUUGAGAUGAAAAUUAAAUAGCCUUUCUGAAUUUGUCAGUUUUCUACAUAGUUUUUAUUUGAGAGUUUAUUAUAAAUGCAACCAUGCUGAAUUGAAGUUGUAAAGACUUGUUCUGCCUUUCCCUACUUCCUUUGUGCUUGCUUUUGUGGCUGUGGUGAAGCAUGAAGUAUUCAAUUUAAUAAUUACAUUUAAAAGAAAGUUAAUUAUACAAAGCUGCUCUGUGCCACAUCCACAUAAAUACAUUUAGUUGUCAAAUUUGCUGAAAUUUGAAUCUCCCUGGAAGAGCAUUAGUAUUACAGUUUUGCACACUUCAACAGCAGCUAUGUAAAUACUCAACUCUGAAAUCAAAUGCUAAUUUUUCCCAAGGAUUAGAUAAGUCAUGUAGCUAAUAUUUUUGUUGACUUUUAUCCCAAUAAGAUUUGCACUGUCCUACUUACAAUGUGAAAAAAUAGAUUUCUGGUUAGGACACUUGGCAAUCACGGGGAUGUUGCAGUUCAGAUCCAGUUGUUGAUGUGUUCUCAUACAUUUUCAGUCACAUCAUGUUUUUAAAACAUGCUCAGUCAUAUUUUUAGGAUAUGUUGAUUUUUUUUUGUGUUUGGAGGUGAAGACAAUAUUUUACACAGUCAUAUAUACUGUAAGCUGCUAAAUAGCAUAUCCUUUUAAUGUGACAAAUAUCUAUACUGUUAGCUAACAUGGACAGUGCAAUCUCAUUGUGGGAGUUAAGUGAUGAGAUGAAAUAGCCCAUGAUCUUGGAAAUGUGGGUUACAGUUUCUUAGGUAUUACAGACUAUAUCACUAAUGAAGCAAUUUGUUCUGUGUCCACUCACAUUUCAUUUGCUGCCAUCAACAAUUAAGAGAUGUCGUAGUAAGGUCAUCGUAGAUUAACACCUUGUCUUUGCAAAGAUCUCAUUAAAAUAGAGAGGAAUUCUAAUUCCUAGCCAAGAUAAUGUUAAUUUGAUGAGAGAAUAAAUAUUGUGGAAGCAAUUUGUGCAAGAGAAAUGAAUGUUAAAGGUAUUAUUCUCUUUUCAAUAAAAGAAGUAAUUCUUACAUGGAAAGAUAGCCUAUUGAAAAAAAUAGUCAGACAUGUUACUGCAGGAAAUGGUUAGAUACCUUGGCCUGGUUAAGGAAGCAUGUCAUGUUGUCCGAGAUUUGCACAGAUGUGCAGAGCCAUAAAUAAAUUGAACAGAAAAUAAGAUUUCUCCCUUUGCUGGUUGCCAGUGUUACAGUUAAACUACAAAGAAAGUAAUUUCUCCAACCAUCAUACAUUUACUUCCCAGUCAUCCUCGAAUGCUUGUAACAGUGAAGGGCGUUGUAAUUGACAUUUCAUUCUAAUACACUGGCUGCCUUGCCUGAAUUUUGGCUGGUUGAUAAGGCUCUUGGAAAUCCAGAGUCUCAUCAUGUCCUGAACAAUUUCAAUCCAGCCCUGUGGCAAUCUAAGCGCUUAACCAGCAAAACAGGAAAGACAAUAUUUGGAGAUGCUACCUUUCAAAAUGCACACAGCAGAGUAACUGAAAUAAUCAAAUUGCUCCUGAAUAAUCCUUUUUCAAAUUUGAAAGCAGAAUGAAGAAAAGAUUUAAAAGAAUAUACAUGUCAAUUUAAGCAAAUAAAAUGUGCAGACAUGAAUUCAUCACAACUGUAUUGUCACUGACGUUGCAUUUCAGAUAAAUUUGAUGAUAAUAUCACAUUUUUUUAAAGGAGGAAAAAAAUCAAUAAUUUUGUCUACAGACUUUGCAUUAUAUUCCAGUUACUUGAAAGAAAAUGUCAUGUGCAUCAACUCAUUCUUCAGGAUGUACUUUCUGAAAAGAUGUGGAUAAUAUUACAUAGACUAAGGUAUUGAUCUCUCAAGUUCUUCAGAAAUGAAGUGUCAUGUCUUUCAACUUGUUCUUCUUUGCGAUUCCAUCAUAUUUUCAUUCAUAUGGGCUUCUUUUCUUGAAAAUGUAUUACUUACAUGAUGAGCUUUACUUCAUUCUAAGUCUCUGAAAAAUGCUCAUUUUUCACAGCUUCCUUUUUCUGUAAUUGUAUGUGCUUUGUAUCAGAAGUUUAAACAGAAGUUUAUCUGACACAAUAAUUAUGCAGAUGCAAAGAUUUUUGUACUUGAUUUAUAUAAAUGCUGUGAGGUUUGAAUUUGUUUCUUUUCCUUUUUCUUUUUUUCCUUCUCUCUUUUUUUUUUUUUUCUUUUUUUUCUUUUUUUCCCCUUGUUGCAGUGUAUGGAAAUCUAUGCUGACCUUGUCAAUAAUGGCUUAUCCACUGGACAGAUGAAAGUUGUAUUUCUGCAAAAGACAUUUUAUUUUAUUUUUUUGUCUGUGGCACCUAAGAGUAGAAUUUUCACAUUUUUUUUUUCUGUUGUUGCUGCUCUUAUUGAGCAAAUAAAGAGGGAUCACACAAGGUCAUCUCUUUCCUGAAACAAGAAAUAAUAAAUUAUUGUAAUCACUAAAACACAGAAACUGAAAAUAACCCUGCCUACCAAAUUCCCAGAGCCAAAUUUACUCCCCAGGUAUGCAUUGCUAAGUCAGGUUGGUAAAGCAUCUUAAAAAUCAAGCUGUGGAGCUGAAUGUAGAGUGAGGGUUUCUCAGAGGCUCUGUGUAGUUUGCCACUAACCUGAACGUCUGGAAACUCUAACACUGAAGAUCCCUGUUCAUGAGCACAGCUCAGAAUCAGUGAGUUGAGCAGAGUAAUGGCUUUUCCAGCUCAAUCUUCUAUUGGUCUCUGAGAAUAAGAGCUGCUAGUAACUAAAGAUCAUAUCACAGAAUCACAGAAUCAUAGAAUGGCCUGAGUUGAAAAGGACCUCAAAGAUCAUUUAGUUACAACCCCCCUGCUAUGUGCAGGGUUGCCAACCACUAGACCAGGCUGCCCAGAGACACCCUCCAGUCCAUUCUCUGGCAGCAAGGUCAAAACAGGUGUAAAACUGUCUGUAAGUGUAACAUUCAGCUCCUGCUCUGCAAGCAGAUUUGGUGAUGUUCUUUUACGCAUCCAAACCCCUGAACUGUGCCCAGGAAUCAUUUGAGAGCAUGCUAAUUCAUCCAGACUAGAACAAGGCUAGGGCUGAUAGUAAAGGUAGCCAAGAUCAACUGCCUGGGGAAAGGUUCUCUGGCUUUGUAUAAUGUAGGAGUACAUAGACAGCACUGAAACUUUAGCACUUUAGCUCCCAUAUGGAGUCACACUUAGAAAUCUGGAAGCAAAAUGAUUUUGAUUAUUCUGAAAUUAUGUUUCUAUUAUUUUGCCCCAGUGAGUAAUUUACAAAAUUAAAGUGUGCUUAAUUCUAAAAAUCUAAUAUAGUCACUUUGCUACUAGUGAGAAUAUCAUCACUCUGUCUCUAAUUUAGUCUUGUAACUUUUGAGUCACCUUCAUCUCACGUUUCCAUAAGGGACAGAUUAUGUCUACAUUUUGUUAAAAGCUUAACACAUGAUAAACAUUUGCAGGGGAACACAGCUACGUUUGAGCUGCUUUAAGGCAAUGGUCCAUGUGCAUGCCCUACCAUGUGGAACUCUGUUGAGAAUCAGAGUUUAUUCAGGUGAGCAUAUUCUUCCCCGAAACACAAGUCAAUAGAUCAUAUUUAUUGUGGAGCUUUGUAGGGAAGGAAAUGCAUACAGUAUGAUGGAAAAACUGAUAUUUGGUAACUUCUUUUCUUCUCCUUGUGGCAAUUUUAUUCGUAUGUUUAUUUGAUACCUGUGAAAUUAACUCUCCAUAUUCUCCCAUGUGGUAUUGUCCAGAGUCUCCUGUGACUCAUAUUUUCUUCUCUGGUCUCCUUGUGUAUUGUAUAAAUAAUUUUUCUCCUCUUUAAAGGCUCUCCAUAGCCAUCUCAAUCCUAUCUAUCAACUAUCUGACACUGUUGUCAAUUUAUGUGUCUGGUUGGCUUGCUGUAAUUAAAUAAUCACUUUCUUCUUAUUCAUUUUUAAGGAGCUACCUAUAAAUAUUGGCACUUUUUUUCAAUAGUAAAAAUCAAAAUAUUUUUUAAGAGUGCUAUUUGCUAUUGCAUCCAUGAAAAACUAUAUCAGCCAAGGACCAUAUUGUACUGGGAUCAUUUAUGUGUCAUAAUGGUCUUAUCUUUUCCUUGUAUCUCCCCUCCCGAUGAGCUAGAAUGUAGUUAUCUAGCCAUGUGUGUCAAACAACAGUGUGAUUAUUACUGAACAGGGGCAUUAUUUUUGUUCUGCGUUCAUACAGCCUGUGAAACAAUAGAGAUAUCACUGAGCUGUUACUUCUUUUUUUUUCCAUAUGUGCAUGAAAAACACAGCGUUCUGUGGUAAUUUUGAUGGCAAACAGCAUACAAAGAAAAGCUUACUUUCAGAACAACACGCCCCCCAAAACAAACAAUUUAUAAAACUAAACAACUACUCUGCCACUUGCAAGACUCUGCAGAGUCCAAAGCAUCUGUCUACAUCUGCCUUGGGCACUGAAAAAAAGGCCCAGGGUAGUGAUGAUGGCACCAAGCCUUCCAGAAUUCAAGAAGCAUUUGGACAACAUCUUCAGACAUAGGGUUUGAAUUUUGAGUUGUCCUGUGUGGAGCCAGGAGUUGGACUUGAUGAUCCUUGUGGAUCCCUUCCAACUCAGGAUAUUCUACCAUUCUAUGAUUCUAUGUUGUUUUGAAUUUUGCCUGGUGCAGAUUAUACAUUCUUCAGCACACUAAGGCAAACAGUUUGGGAAAUUCUGUUUAAAGCAGCUUAAUUGGCCUAAUUCUCCAGAACUUGGAUUGCAAAGGGGUGUUCUCAGCCCACAGUCAUCUGGAAGCUAUAGCUUAUCUCAAAGAUAAAACUAGGUUGGUUCUUACUGUGUUUGAUAUAUGUGUAAAACUACAUACAUAUACACAGAUGUACAUGUAUGCAGACAAUACAUCUGUGGCAGCAUGCUCCUUCAUUUCUGUUCUCUGAAGUACUGAAUCAGAAUGUGAAAAAUAAAUUUGCUUUUGGGUUAUUAUCAUCUCUAACUAAUCUAAAUCAGUUUCAGAUUAACCCAUUUUCUCCCCAAGGUAAAAUUAGACACCAAAUUUCAGCAUGAGAAUCAAUAGUCCACUACUGACUUGCCUUUAAAUUGCAAUAUUCUAGGUAUCAUUACUUUAAAUUUUCUUUAUCACAUUCAUAAAUUUGCAUUUUCAUAAAGUUCCAUAAAAUAUGAUAAUAACAGUAAUAAUAGUGAACAGAUUGAGGGACACAUACAGAUACAAAAAAUCGUGGAAGUGAAGCAGUGUCAAGGAAAAUAAUUUGCUGCAACGGUAGGAAAUUGUCAACUUUCACACAGGAAGUCAUUAAAUUUUUUCUCUUUUGAAUUAUAAUUUUGGCACUUUCAUAUAGCAGCAAGGUAAUAGAUUUUCAUUAUCCAGAGUGCAAAAACAUUGGCUGUGGAAAAAGCAACAGAGCUCAGAUUAAUAGGAGAUGACAAGCUGACCAAAGAGGAAGUGGCAGCAUGGCUGGCACCAUGGCUCAGUGGUUGUGACAGGCAAUUAGUGAACAGAGCAGAACAGAUGUAACAGAAGGCAGCAACAAUUUACUGAAGCAUUAGCUUGCUCACUCUGUAGUACAGAGCACUGAUAGUUUGCUGAUACGAAUAAAUACUAAUAUGAUCUCGGGAGGUGAAAAGAGGUAGUGUGCACAGUCAUCUUACAAAUUAAAAAAAAAAAAUCAACAAAUAAAGCAAUAACAAGAAAAACAUUACAAACAAACAAAUAAACCAAGCAACCACCAUGACUAGCAACAAAAGUAACUACUCAAAACCAAACCAAACCAAAAACUAGAAACAAGAUCAAGUAGAUGCAAGAGAAAAAAGACCAGCCUUAUGUCCUUUUCAAGACUUGAUUGAGAAUCUUGCUUCAGUACUAGAUUGCAGCAUGCCUGAAAAGAGAUCAUACAGCAGAGAACUUGCAACAGUGUGUUCAUUUUUCACAGUACUUAAAGAGAAAGCACAGUGUUUGUUUUUGUUGUAUUUCUCCCCCUUGUAUUAGGAGAGGCUUACAUUAACAAAGCUCCUUGAUGUUGCUGCUGGUUGGUGGAGAAUAGGAGAAUGGGAGAUCUUUGUGAUUACAAUGUUGCCUUGCUGAAUUUAAAACCCAAACAAACAUAACACCUUCCUUGUUAUUUCUAUUUAAAACCACAUGUAUCUAGUAUUAUGCAAAAUUAUAUUAAUUUACUUCAGAGAACUUCUAGGCCUCAGUUGUCUUAUGUCUCAAAGGACUAAGUGAGCCAUAUGUUCAGGAAAGUUGGGAUUGAAUAAGUUAUACUUGUUAUACUAUACAAGUGUUGUUAUGAUAUUCCUAAACAUAGUGAUGAAGCUAUUAUAUUGCUGUUAACUGUAGAGAAUACAUCAUCAUUCCAUAAAUUGGCAUAAAAUUUAUAUAAUGGGAGCAUAUGUUAGUUAGAAUUGGAAAAGAAAAUGGCCAGUCCUGUGUGUAUAGUCCAUAGAAUCACUAUUAACAUCUUUUACUGACAGUUAACAGUAAUUUGCUCUAUUCCCAUGAAGAUCUGGCACUUACUUGUAAAGUAAUACAAAUUAAAACCAAUCGAACCUUGAAUAAGUUUCACCUUUUUUUGCUAAGGACUGGACUUAAGGAUCAAUUCCAUACCACCAGGUGAAUCUUAAUAAUAAUUUUAAUGGUUCCAGAUAAAAAAUAGUUCUAUUUUACUGUAGUUGUUCAUCCCUCACCAAGACAGCACCUUUUGUAAUAAUGAAUACAUGAUUUGGUACCAUCCACAGAUCAUGACAAAUUUGGAAUUCAAAAAGUCAUGGAAAGUAAAGGCGCUGCAUGAGUCAAGAGGAUAUCCUCAGUUUCUGGCUCCAGUUGACUACAGGAAUGAUUUCUGAUAACGACUCACUGGUUCUGGAUGAGUUUUUCCAUGAGGGAGAUCAUAUCCCAUCUCAUCCCAUCCUACCCUACCCUACCCUACCCUACCCUACCCUACCCUAUCCCAUCCCAUCCCAUCCCAUCCCAUCCCAUCCCAUCCCAUCCUAUCCUAUCCUAUCCUAUCCUAUCCUAUCCUAUCCUAUCCUAUCCUAUCCUAUCCUAUCCUAUCCUAUCCUAUCCUAUCCUAUCCUAUCCUAUCCUAUCCUAUCCUAUCCUAUCCUUUCCCAUCCCAUCCCAUCCCAUCCCAUCCCAUCCCAUCCCAUCCCAUCCCAUCCCAUCCUAUCCUAUCCUAUCCUAUCCUAUCCUAUCCUAUCCUAUCCUAUCCUAUCCUAUCCUAUCCUAUCCUAUCCUAUCCUAUCCUAUCCUAUCCUAUCCUUUCCCAUCCCAUCCCAUCCCAUCCCAUCCCAUCCCAUCCCAUCCCAUCCUAUCCUAUCCCAUCCUAUCCUAUCCUAUCCUAUCCUAUCCUAUCCUAUCCUAUCCUAUCCUAUCCUAUCCUAUCCUAUCCUAUCCUAUCCUAUCCUAUCCUAAAUCUUAACUCUCUCUCAUCUCCAAAGACUGGUGCUUGGAUGCAACUAAAGGAAAAAAUGAUUGCCAUAUAUGUUUUCCCUGAGGAAAAAAAUGAUGUGUCAGAAUCAUAAAAUGUGAAUACUUGAGAAAUAUGGUUUUAUUGUGAUUUUAUUAAGGAAGUCAAAGAUUGAUGUAAACUAACACAAAAUUCUUUCAAUCAAAUUCUAACAUGAUGAAACUCUGAAGUUUUUCUUUAAAAUUGGAAGAAUCAUAUUAAUUUGACUGAAGCACUCUUGUUUGUUUUUAGUAUGUGUAUAUUUAAGAGAAAAAAAAAGAUUCAAUCUGAGAGAAUGAAGUUUUCUCUACUUAUGUAAAUGAAUUGCUAAUUCAGUUCACUUAAAAGUGCAGUUACAAGCUGAGGGGAAGAGAAUGUAGAAGAGAGGGCACUUUAGAAAAUGGCUUAAUGAGAGGAAAAAAAAACAGAAAAAAAAUGAAGGAAAUUGGAAAAAUACAAAAUAAAGAAUAUUUUCUUGCCAACGUAGAAGUCUUGAAAGAUCAUUCUAAGUGUAAAUCUUGUAGGCCUGGACUCAUCACCAUCUUAAUUCAGCUCUGUCUUAUUACCACUUCAGUAGCACACAGGUAUCUGUUUAUUAGAUGCCAAUUGUUUAGAAAUUCUUUUUAUAUGUGGUAAACCUCAUACUGAAAUGUUCAUUUCACAGCAAUCAGGAAAUACCUUUAAAAUGUUUUAUGAGCUCUUUUGAAUUUCAGUGGAAGACUGACUUGUUUUACUUGAUCUACAAAAAUUUUGAUGACUCAUGAGCUUUCUUUGACAAGUUUGUCUGUGUGGACUGCAGAGACAGAUUCUCAACAGUAUCCCCCAAAUAGAGAAAGGUGUAACAAAAUAAAGUUAUUAAUUAUAUGUUCUCAAUUUAGAUAUCCAAAUAAAUAAUUUUAAUUUGUUGAUCACAGUAAAUAGCAAUGAUGUCCUUGGAAUAGUAAGUAUACCAGAGUUAACAAACCUACUGAAUCUGAAGUUCUGAACCAAAAAAUGUUACACUGCACUGUACAUCACCUUUCCAAUAAGUAAAGUACUCAGUAUCCAGGUAACUAUUACUUUUACUCUAUUUUGUCAAAAACAGCACAAAUCUUCCACCAAAACACCACUAAUGUGGAAGAACUGACACACAGGUUGUAAACAUUUAUGUAGUGAUAUUUGCAUUGAAAAAGUACUUAGUGAAAUAGAGAUGAAACUCGUAGAUGGCUAUACACACAUAAACUUUUUGGUGAAUUAGGUCUAGUGAACCAAUGGUUAUGUCUAGUUGAAAUCAAUUAUUAAAAUUCAGAUAACAGCUAUUCUUUUGUAGUUAGCAGGAAGAGAGAAAGAGAAAAAAAGGCUGCUCAUUCACAUAUCUGGGCCUAUGUAUCCUAAAUAUCCAUAAUCAGGCACUUCUGCAGUUGAUUCUCUUCUCACUGGCUAUAGAAGAAAUCUACGAGGGCUUCUAAAAAGUUAUGUCUGCUACUUUAUUAUAUUGGCCUACAAUAUCUGAGGUGGAUGUUGAUAGUAUAGCAGUAGAGGUUGAACCUUCCUGCCAGUAUUCCAUUAUGUUUUUUUUUUGCCAUGCAACACAUGGCAGCAGAGGGAAGGUCUGACAGAAUGCUGUUUGACAUGGGAGCAUGCAUGAAAUGUGGAAUUCCUCCAUGUGGGAAAAAUUGCACCCACUGAUAUUCAUUGACACUUGCUGAACAUAUAUGGAGACCAAACAGUGGAUGUGAACACAGUGAAGUGAUGUGUGGUGUUUCAGUAGUAGCAACAGUGAUGUGAAAGACAAGCCAUAUUCCAGAUGGCCAUGAAGAUUUUUAUGAGCACAACAUUCAGGCCUUUGUUCACUGCUAGUGAUGAAUAUGUACAAAAAUAGUAUCCUGUAGCUGAGAAUUUUGUCUGUCAGUGUUAUUGUACUCUUUGUGUCUGUUAUAGUUUCCAUGGAAAUAAAUAGGAGGCAUUACUUUUGGAACUACCAACAGAGAUAACCAGCUAUAAGCCAAAUUUCUAACUUUCAAAUGACUAAAUUUAGGUUAGAUGUAGUCCAUGCAUAACUGUAUUUUCUUAUUCUAUGAAGAAUGUAAGAAUGGCUACAGUAGUUUAUAUCCUAAGUCUCAACUGAUGGCUAGUAUUGCUUGUCUCGAAAAGAGUUUAUGAUAAGGGAAAUAAUAUGUCCGCAUUGUUCCCUAUAUGUUUGCAUUCUUCAGUCAUCUGACACUAAGCAUGAUACUCAGUUUGAGAUUUGGUCUUCAUAUCACAUUCAAAUAGGAAAUGCUGAGUGAUUUAAUGUAACUAAUGCAAUCUAAUCUGUAGCCAUUAGACAAAAAUAACAAUUAGACGUGCCACUUUUCUGCAUGGAUAUUACAAAUUUAAGGCCAUCCCUUAUAAAUGAAAAAUGCUACUUCAGAGUGUUUACUGAAAACAUGAGGGCAUUUUUACCGCAAGAAAACUACACAGUGAUUGUUAUCUCCAUGUAAAAUCCUAACAGGCACAAGGUAGAGCUAGUUUUAACCUCAGAGCACUGAGAUAAACCUGAAGAAGUAAAUACAAAGCUGACCUUCACUGACCAUAUCAAGGCAUAGAUAUAGAUAGCUAUUACAUUGUUUGAGAUAUUCUCUUUUUUGUUUUAUUUAUAAUAAAAUACUUCUGUCCUUUAUUUCUCCUUACUUCAGUGAUAUAAUAUGGAUGCUUUUCCAGUUCAGAGGUGAAGUUUUUUUCUCUGCAAAAGUAACUCUAAUCCCAGUUUUGUCCACUUCUGUGUCUGCAUUUCUUUAACUGGUCACUGAAUCACAAAAACACAGAAUUGCAGAAAUUGAAAGAGACCUCAAGAGAUCAUCGAGUCCAGCCUGCCCCUGCUAAAGCAGGUACCCUACAAGAGGUCACACAGGUUGUUGAUGAUGUUGAACAAGACCAGACCCAGCACUGACACCUGGGAAGCACCGGUAAUUAAAGGCCUCAAGCCAGAUUCUGUGCUGCUGAUGACAACCCUGUGAGCUCUGACAGUGAAACAGUUCUCAAUCCAGCUCACUGUCCACUCAUCUGUGCCACAUUCUCUACAUUUCAUAACCAGGAUGUUGUGGGAGACGGUGUCAAAUGCCCUACUGAAGUCACGGUACACAACAUCCACUGCUCUCCCUCCGUGUACCCAGACAGUGGUGACAUCAUAGAAGGAUAUCAGACAUGGUUUCAUCUGAAGAUUUACUGAUGGCCCACUUAAUCACCUUGUCCAGAUCAUCAAUGAAGAUAUUAAACAGGACCAGCACUAAUACUGACCCCUGGAGAACACCAUUUGUGACUGGUCACCAGCUAGAUUUAACUCCAUUCACCACCACACUCUGGGUCCAGCCCUCCAGCCGGUUCUCUACCCAGUGAAGACUGUACCUGUUCAAGCCAUGGACUGCCAUCUUUUCCAGGAGAAUGCUGUGGGACACAAUGUCAAAGGCUUUAUUCAUGUCUAGGUGGACUACAUCCAUAGCUUUUCCCUCAUCUACUAGGGAAUUUUUGUAGUCAUGAUCCAAAUUUUCAGAAGGUAUCUCUGUAUCCUGAUGAAGAGAUCUUUUAAAUGGCUCAUUGAAGGAGACUCAGAUUGCCUAGAAACUGAUGCGCAUUAUGGUUCCACACCCUUACUCAUAAUUUUUAUAAUUAAUAAAAAUUCAGAGAGAAACUCCUUCCAUUUUAAAUUUGCCCAUAGCACUCCUGUGCUAGAGUUUAGAAUUCUCGACUCUGAAGAUAAACGGAAAAUUAUUUUUUCUAAUUGUAUCCAGGAGCUUUUAUGUAGCAUAUUUUAAAAUGUCACAAAAUAAUGAAGUUUAGAUAAGCCAUUAAGGAAAAAACAUGUUUUUCAACUGAGUAAAGAUGCCAGCAAUUCAAACAAUAGUGCUGCAUUUGUCAGAUAAUUAGCCAAUGAUUGUCUUUUGAACUCUGAAAAUAAAUUUAGAAGGAGCAGAUAUGCUGUGCUGUAAAAUGUGAGAGCUUUCAGAGUUUUUUUUUCUUCUUCUUUUUAAGACUUUUGCUUAAAGAUUUUUUUUUGAAGUGUUUUCUAACUAAGUACUUGAAUUAUGUACACAUGAAUAGCCUUUAAGGAAAUCAUACAGGUCUCUUCAACUAUAUGCUAUACAGAUUUUAAUUUUACAGAUUUUUAUUAUUUUAGUUCCACUAAAUGCUUUUAGUUAAGGUUGACCAAAAUUUUCCCCUUUGAGACCAGUUUUUAAAUUCCUUGUAAUUGCCAUAUUUAAACUGUUCAUGCUGUUGUGCCCCAUGCCAUAUGUCUACUCUGGGAUGAAUCAGUUUGGAAAAUUCCAUAAAAAUGGCUCAGUAGUUUUGCAGUAUUGACAAAAAUGCUUUUUUUUCCCCCCAUAACUAAUAUAUUAUGCUGAAGCAGUUAACUUGAAUACUGUUGUUAUUUCCUAAUGAACCUCUGUUUAUGUUGUAUUGAUGUCCUGUAGAAAUGAGUCCAAAUGAAACUUCUGAUAAAAUCUUAGUAACUUGUGGGAAUACAAGAAAAACUGUUCAGAGGAGCAGCUGUGGAGCAAGAUAAACAGCAGUAAGCAAAAGAGCAAAACAAACAAAAAUUGAUCUCUCCUCCCAGCUAUUCAUUUUACUAGGGAUCAAACUCUAUGGUCAAGUAAAAGUUUUUGAUGAACGUUACUUUAGAAUAAAUAUAUCUAAUUAAUUGAAUAGUACUUAAAACGUCAUUUCAACUCUACACAUUUAUUUUUUAGGUGCAAAUCUUUCCCAAGAAUAUUCACAGAACAGAGAAUCAGGCGUAAAACCUAUCUACAUUUACACACUACUUUUUGACAGCAACAUCUUAAAUGUACUAUACUAUUCUGACAUUUUUAAGAGAACUUUUAAGAGAAAAUACUUGUGAGUAUCUGCAGUUCAAAUUUAUGCUAUUCUUUCUUUAUGGUAACUCACAAUAUUGUACACUAACUAUCAAAAGAAAGAAAUUUGUGAUUCCCCUGCAAUAUUUGCCUUUGGAUAAAAGAGGAAAAAAAAUCUAAUGCCUUCACAGACUGUAAUAAGUCUAAAAUUCACAAACUA